rnacentral:rRNA from 1 species
UCAAUCUUUUGUCCGUUUAAUCGUCUUGCAAUAUCUAUCUUCAAAGGCUAAAGAUGAUAACGAAAAAUGUUCUUCUAAAACAAUGGGUUCACCUUUGUUAGUAGAAAUAAUAAAUUUUCAUCUUAUGGAAUCACACCAAUUAAUGGAAUUGCCAGUAAUUUAAUUACAUCUUGUAAUAAUAUCAUUUCAUUUUGCCUAAUCAUUUUAUAACGAAUACGAUUAAUAAUUAAACUAAUAUUAUUAAAUAUUAUGAGAUUCAAGUAAUCCAAUGACUCUAUCAUCGUCUAUGAAUGAGGUGAUUUCAGGUGUAGUAAGAACCAAAACUUCUUGAGCUAAACUAAUAGCACGAUAAAAGCCUUUUUCUAUUCCAGCUGAAGAAUCUAUUAAUAUAUAAUCUGCUUGCUGAUCAAGAAGACUAAUAAGAAAACGCAUAUUGUCUCCAGUGAUAUCAUUUUUAGUAUGAUUUUAUGAGGUAGAUAAUAAACUUAAUCUAUUAUAAUGUUUAUCUUUAGUUAAAGCUUGCUCUAAACUGCAUUUUCCUGAAAAUACUUCUAAAGCUGUAUAAAUAACUCUAUUUUCUAAUCCUAAUAAUAAAUCUCAAUUUCGUAGAGCUAUAUCAGCGUCAAUUAAAAUAGUCUCAUAACCUAAUUUGGCAAGGCACAUUCCUCAAUUAGCAGUGGUUGUUAUUUUUCCCACUCUAUCUUUUCACUAAGUAAUAACAAUACACUCUAGCCAU